UCUUAUUAGGGAAUCGAUCGCGACGAAAAUCGGGAUCGAAUCCCACUACGGUAACAUACGAGGGUAUCCAAACAACACAUACUAUCCAAAUAAAAAAAUAUGGAGUUCCGGUUUAGACCAUGGGCGUGCGACGACCCCGAUGAAAUUCGGGAUAUCACGGUCUUCGUUAAUGUUAAUAAGCGUCCGUCAGAUCAGUAGGCGAAACACAAUAUCCGCACAAUAAGAUGUCUGCGACUCGAAAUAAUAAUUCAAAGUAAGCUGUUAAUUUUGUUGUGUCAGAAGCUAAUCAGCCGGUAACGUGACUACACUGAUAUAAUUUGUGAUACAAACAUGCAUUAUUCAAUACUGAGUAGCAUUUUUAAACGGCGACAUUUUGAACAUUUUUUAUAUUUAGAGUGAGAGUGGAUACACGUUACACUGGCGCCGACAUUUUGAAAAUUUGAGGAAACAAAAACAUUCCCCAACGAGUUCUUCAGCUCGGGGAAUGAGAGAAUAGAUACACCUUUGUGUCGCUUUUCAGAUCGUAUUUAAUUCCUUUCCGAAUAUGGACGGCACUCCAUUACAGCAUGUGCAUGGCUGGACCUGUUGACAUUUUUAGAAACGCAUCUUGGUCUAUUAUACAGAGUAUUGUUGUACUGCUCCAAAGUGCUUGUUGACAGACUGAAACCACUUGCUUGCGGCUCAUAAGUUUCACUUCUUGAGAGCAGGCAGCUACAAAAUGGAAGGUCAACAAAUCCAGUAUACUUAAAAAGCAAGAAAGAAACACCAGAAAAUAUAAAAAGACGGAAGAACAAGGGAACUUUAAUAAAAAAAAACUUUUAAGGAUAGGAAUUCAGGAUUUAUUAAGAAACUAAAUAUAUUUUGAGAACAGCAGUGUUUGACUAAGCUCUGUUACUUUUAGAGAUAAUGUAUUAUUACAUUGGUUUUGUUAUUGUCGAGCCCGCUUGCAGAAGCGAAGAUAUAGUUGUCCAAAUGUCUAUUCGGUGUAUGUGCGUGCGUGCGUCCGUCCGGAUUUGUUUGUCCGGACCAUAAUUUGGACAUGCAUGGAGCAAUCUUGUUUAUAUAUGGUAUGAAUGUUAACCUCAGUGAGACGGAGUGUCAUGCGCAAGCCCCAGGUUCCUGUCUCAAAGGUCAAGAUCACACUUACAGGUCAAAGGUCAAAUUCAAAAAUGACUGUCCGGAGCAUUUCUUCUUCAUGCAUGGAGGGAUUUUGAUGUAACUUGGCACAAUUGUUCACCAUCAUGAGAUGGAGUGUCUUUCGUAAGAACCAGGUCCCUAAGUCUAAGGUCAAGGUCACACUUAGAGGUCAAAGGAUACAAGAAUGACAACUUUGUCUGGAGCAUUUCUUCUUCACGCAUGGAGGGACUUUGAUGUAACUUGGCACAAAUGUUCACCACCAUGAGACGGAGUGUCAUGCGGAAGAACCAGUUCUAAGGUCAAGGUCGCACUUAGAGGUCAAAAGUCAGAUACAAGAAUGACUUUGUCUGGAGCAUUUCUUUUUGAUGCAUAGAGGGAUUUUGAUGUAACUUGGCACAAUUGUUCAUCAU